UAGCAUAGAUCUAAUGUGGUUAGCCACAUGUAGCAUCUUAUUUUCCCGUCCUUGUAACACCCUCAUCAUGGUUGGCCCUAACUGAGAGAGAAGGGCUCUCACCCAUAGGCCGGUCCUACUCAACCUCGGUGGCCAAUGAAGAUGCACAUGACUAAUAAGACUUGUGACCCAUAAUAUAAAUAAUAACAAAAUCUUAAUCAAUCUAAUAUUUUUCAUUUAUAAUUGUUGGCCAAUUAUAGUUUAUUUUUUCAGUGUAAAUAUGCACUCUCUCUCUAACACAACAAUUAAAGACAAUG
rnacentral:lncRNA from 1 species